UUGUACAAGCCAAGGUUGAAAAAAAAAAAAAAAAAAAAAAAAAAAAAAAAA
rnacentral:ribozyme from 1 species